rnacentral:rRNA from 1 species
UACGAAGGGGGCUAGCGUUGCUCGGAAUCACUGGGCGUAAAGCGCACGUAGGCGGCUUUCUAAGUCAGGGGUGAAAUCCUGGAGCUCAACUCCAGAACUGCCUUUGAUACUGGGGAGCUCGAGUCCGGAAGAGGUGAGUGGAACUCCGAGUGUAGAGGUGAAAUCGUAGAUAUUCGGAAGAACACCAGUGCGAAGGCGGCUCACUGGUCCGGUACUGACGCUGAGGUGGCGAAAGCGUGGGGAGCAAACAG